AUUCCAGCUCCAAUAGCGUAUAUUAAAGUUGUUGCAGUUAAAAAGCUCGUAGUUGAACUUCGGAACCGGUCGAUUGGUCCGUCCUCUGGAUUGUGUACUGAUCGAUCUGUUCUUCUUCGCGAAGACCGCGUGUGCCCUUAACUGGGUGUGCACGGGAUUCACGACGUUUACUUUGAAAAAAUUAGGGUGUUCAAAGCAGGCAUUCGCUUGAAUAUCUCAGCAUGGAAUAAUAGAAUAGGACUUUGGUCUUAUUUUGUUGGUUUCCGAGACCGAAGUAAUGAUUAAUAGGGACAGUUGGGGGCAUUCGUAUUUCAUUGUCAGAGGUGAAAUUCUUGGAUUUAUGAAAGACGAACUUCUGCGAAAGCAUUUGCCAAGGAUGUUUUCAUUA
rnacentral:rRNA from 1 species